rnacentral:snoRNA from 1 species
CAUCAUGAUGAGAACACCUUUUAAUAGGAAGUGCCGUCAGAUGCGAUAACUGACGAUUAUUUUCCACUCUGACU